rnacentral:rRNA from 1 species
UCAUAUGCUUGUCUCAAAGACUAAGCCAUGCAUGUCUAAGUACAUGCCGAAAUAAGGUGAAACCGCGAAUGGCUCAUUAAAUCAGUUAUGGUUUCUUAGAUCGUACUUUUUUACUUGGAUAACUGUGGUAAUUCUAGAGCUAAUACAUGCAGCAGAGCUCCGACCUUCGGGAACGAGCGCUUUUAUUAGACCAAGACCAAUCGAGCUUCGGCUCGUCUACCAUGGCGACUCUGGAUAACUUUGGGCAAAUCGCACGAUCUCGUAUCGGCGAUGUUUCUUUCAAGUGUCUGCCUUAUCAACUUUCGAUGGUAGGCUACGCGCCUACCAUGGUCGUAACGGGUAACGGGGAAUCAGGGUUCGAUUCCGGAGAGGGAGCCUGAGAAACGGCUACCACAUCCAAGGAAGGCAGCAGGCGCGCAAAUUACCCACUCCCGGCACGGGGAGGUAGUGACGAAAAAUAACAAUACGAGACUCUUUUGAGGCCUCGUAAUUGGAAUGAGUACACUCUAAAUCCUUUAACGAGGANNNNNNNNNNNNNNNNNNNNNNNNNNNNNNNNNNNNNNNNNNNNNNNNNNNNNNNNNNNNNNNNNNNNNNNNNNNNNNNNNNNNUCGUAGUUGAAUCUCAGUUCCAGACAGGCGGUCCGCUCCGGUGGUUACUGCCUGGCCUGAACAUCCUGACGGUUUUCCUUCUGUGCUCUUGACUGAGUGUCGUAGGUGCCCGUCACGUUUACUUUGAAAAAAUUGGAGUGCUCAAAGCAGGCGUUCCGCCUGAAUAAUGGUGCAUGGAAUAAUGAAAGAGGACUUCGAGUUCUAUUGUGUUGGUUUUCGGAACACGAGGUAAUGAUUAAAAGGGACAGACGGGGGCAUUCGUAUUGCGACGCUAGAGGUGAAAUUCUUGGACCGUCGCAAGACGAACUACAGCGAAAGCAUUUGCCAAGAAUGUUUUCAUUAAUCAAGAACGAAAGUUAGAGGUUCGAAGGCGAUCAGAUACCGCCCUAGUUCUAACCAUAAACGAUGCCAACCAGCGAUCCGCCUGAGUUACUCAAUUGACUCGGCGGGCAGCUUCCGGGAAACCAAAGUUUGUGGGUUCCGGGGGAAGUAUGGUUGCAAAGCUGAAACUUAAAGGAAUUGACGGAAGGGCACCACCAGGAGUGGAGCCUGCGGCUUAAUUUGACUCAACACGGGAAAACUUACCCGGCCCGGACACCGGAAGGAUUGACAGAUUAAGAGCUCUUUCUUGAUUCGGUGGGUGGUGGUGCAUGGCCGUUCUUAGUUGGUGGAGCGAUUUGUCUGGUUAAUUCCGAUAACGAACGAGACUCUAGCCUACUAAAUAGGCGACCGAUCACUUGUGUCGGUCUUCCUUCUUAGAGGGACAAGCGGCGUUUAGCCGCACGAGACAGAGCAAUAACAGGUCUGUGAUGCCCUUAGAUGUCCGGGGCCGCACGCGCGCUACACUGAAGGAAUCAGCGUGUGUUUACCCCUGUCCGGCAGGACUGGGUAACCCGAUGAACCUCCUUCGUGAUAGGGAUAGGAGCUUGUAAUUGUUCUCCUUGAACGAGGAAUUCCCAGUAAGCGCGAGUCAUAAGCUCGUGUUGAUUACGUCCCUGCCCUUUGUACACACCGCCCGUCGCUACUACCGAUUGAAUGAUUUAGUGAGGUCUUCGGACUGGUGCUCGGAGCGGCUCUCGGGUCGCACCGCCGUACCGGAAAGAUGACCAAACUUGAUCAUUUAGAGGAAGUAAAAGUCGUAACAAGGUUUCC